rnacentral:pre_miRNA from 1 species
CAAGUACUUCCUCUGUCCCAAAAUUCUUGUUUUACAUUUAUCUAAGUACAAAUGUAUCAAGUCAGUUUUUAGUAUUAGGUAUAUCCAAAUCCAUAUCUAGACAAAUCUAAGACAAGAAUUUUGAGACGGAGGAGUACAGA